GCAGGAGAAUACUUGAGCAUUAUACAUCACCGUCAUUGGGAGUGGAAAUGUCGACAUUAUCCCCCAACGCUGCUCUCUCUUUAUUAUUGACGCCCUGGACAUCACCAAGACGAGGGACAUUAGUAUUCCCUUGGUCAGUCUGGAUUUUUCGGUCUGCUUUACGGGAACCUUUAUCACCGUCGUUCCCCAGCUGAUGAGUUCUGAAUUCGGCAGUUGAAUCCUUCUCAACAGUCUGCUUUACGGGAACCUUUAUCACCGUCGUUCCCCAGCUGAUGAGUUCUGAAUUCGGCAGUUGAAUCCUUCUCAACAGUCUGCUUUACGGGAACCUUUAUCACCGUCGUUCCCCAGCUGAUGAGUUCUGAAUUCGGCAGUUGAAUCCUUCUCAACAGUCUGUGUUACGGGAACCUUUAUAAACGUGAUCCGCAGUUCUGGUUCCGGAAUGAGGGAUCCUCCUUGCGCCAGUCCCGAGUUUUUUUCUCGUCCCGGAAUUCGGCACCAAUUGUUAUUAGACGCGUUCUCACGACCGGCCAGGAAGAACACCACAGACCAGAAUCUUCUGCGGCAAAGCUUUAUUCUUACAUCUUCAGGAGCCAGAGUGUAAGCAGCAAGAGAGCAAGAAGCAAGAGAGAGCGAAGCAAGAGAGAGAAGCAAGAGAGAGAAGCAAGAGAGCGAAGCAAGAGAGAGAGAAAAACGAAAACCCCGUCCCUCUUAAAGAGCAUUCUCCUUCGCCUCGGACGUGUCACUCCCUGAUUGGCUGCAGCCCAUCGGCCGAGUUGACGUCACGGGGAAGGCAGAGCACAAGUAGUCAUAAGAUACCCUUGGCACAUGCGCAGAUUAUUUGUUUACCACUUAGAACACAGGAUGUCAGCGCCAUCUUGUAACGGCGAAUGUGGGGGCGGCUCCCAACAGUUUGUAUUUGCUUGGCCCAUGAAGUGGCACUAUUAGGAGAUGUGGCCUUGUUGGGGUAGGUGUAUCACUGUGGGUGUGGGCUUAAGACACUGGAAGUCAGUAUUCUGCUAGCAGCCUUCAGAUGAAGAUGUGGAACUCUCGGGUCCUCCUGCACCAUGCCUGCCUGGAUGCUGCCAUGUUUCCACCAUGAUGAUAAUGGAUUGAAUCGCUGAACCUAUAAGCCAGCCCCAAUUAAACAUUGUCCUUUAUAAGACUUGUCUUUUUCAUGGUGUCUGUUCACAGCAGUAAAACCCUAACUAAGACAGAAGGCUAUUCUAACUCUUAGAGGUGGGGGGUGAAGCUCAGCCUCUAUAUGACCAGUCUACCCUCUGGGAUGCUCAUGUGGGCUCCAGAAGACACUAAACUGAGGCUGAGACCUAGAGCUCUCUCCCCUCCCUAACCCAUCCAUUUCCUGCAUUUCUUCUAGAAUAAUCACUCAGUGAUGAACUUCGAUGUCAGGAGCGAACCUCCGGAAACAGUGGGGUUCCUCGAGGAAUACCUGAUGUGUUCUGAUGAGCAACCACAGGAGCCACGAGGAUAUCUUUGUCACUGUUCUUUUGCUGUGAGGAGACACCAUGACCACUGCACCUCUUAUAAAGGAAAACAUUUAAUUGGGGCUGCCUUACAGUUUCAGAGGUUUAGUCCAUUAUUGUCAUGGCAAGAAACAUGGCAACACGCAGGAGGACAUGGUGCUGCUGGAGGAGAUGAGAGUUGCACAUCUGGAUCCACAGGCAGCAGAAAGAGAACUGGCUAGAGCUUUUGCGACCUCAAGCCCCACCCCCUAGUUUCACAAUUCCUUCAACAAAGGCACGCCCACUCCAAGGCCCCACCUCCAAAUAGUGCCCCUUCCUCUGAGCGUAUAGGAGCCAUUUUCUGUCAAACCACCACAGUGGCGGACUGCCAGUCAGUCAUGGCAUGGUGGCAGUGCAGUGUUCCUCUGUAUACUCUUCCACCUGGAUGUCCUGGUGAUCACUCAUGAGUAUCGUUGACUGAACCUCUUCAUAAUAUCUGUAGAAAACCCUCCCUCUGAAAAUAAUGAUGGCCAUAUCAAACAGGCUCAUCUGGGACGUCCCCCAAGUCGUCACCAUGACCAGCUAUCUCUGGAGAGCUGGAAGCACAGUCUUUCUCUUCACUUCCUGGGCACUUUGUCACUUAAGCCACAGAACAGCCCUGGCACACCGCACUAGUUGUUGGCCUUUACUCUAACCCAGAGGGUCCACGCCCACUUUUAUGGACAAGUAGGAUGAUGUCACCUCUCCCCAAAUCUUCUUGGAGCCUGUGCAGAAACCAAAGUCUUCUCUCCCAAGCAAGCUGAAAACCAAAGCCGAGUGGAGCGCAAAUGCAUGUGGGGAGGAAGCGCGUCUACUCCAGUGUCUUCUGGCACCUGGCUCAGUCAGCCAGAGUCUUUUAAAUUGGGUUUUUAUUUUAAGCCUGUAUCAAGGAAACCUCCUUCCUGGAGCUAUUUUGGAUGGAGGACAUCCGUAAAGAACGAACAGAUACAACCUGUUUUUGAGGAACUCUCGUUUUGUGAGACUGAUUAAAAUGUACGUAGACUCACACAAA
rnacentral:lncRNA from 1 species